GGGUUGUGAGGUUAAGCGACUAAGCGUACACGGUGGAUGCCCUGGCAGUCAGAGGCGAUGAAGGACGUGCUAAUCUGCGAAAAGCGUCGGUAAGGUGAUAUGAACCGUUACAGCCGGCGAUGUCCGAAUGGGGAAACCCAGUGCAAUUCGUUGCACUAUCGUUUGAUGAAUACAUAGUCAAACGAGGCGAACCGGGGGAACUGAAACAUCUAAGUACCCCGAGGAAAAGAAAUCAACCGAGAUUCCCCCAGUAGCGGCGAGCGAACGGGGAGCAGCCCGGAGUCUGAAUCAGCUUGUGUGUUAGUGGAAGCGUCUGGAAAGUCGCAGGGUACAGGGUGAUACUCCCGUACACUAAAACACACAGGCUGUGAACUCGAAGAGUAGGGCGGGACACGUGGUAUCCUGUCUGAAUAUGGGGGACCAUCCUCCAAGGCUAAAUACUCCUGACUGACCGAUAGUGAACCAGUACCGUGAGGGAAAGGCGAAAAGAACCCCGGCGAGGGGAGUGAAAAAGAACCUGAAACCGUGUACGUACAAGCAGUAGGAGCCCACUUGUUGGGUGACUGCGUACCUUUUGUAUAAUGGGUCAGCGACUUAUAUUCUGUAGCAAGGUUAACCGUAUAGGGGAGCCGCAGGGAAACCGAGUCUUAACUGGGCGUUAAGUUGCAGGGUAUAGACCCGAAACCCGGUGAUCUAGCCAUGGGCAGGUUGAAGGUUGGGUAACACUAACUGGAGGACCGAACCGACUAAUGUUGAAAAAUUAGCGGAUGACUUGUGGCUGGGGGUGAAAGGCCAAUCAAACCGGGAGAUAGCUGGUUCUCCCCGAAAGCUAUUUAGGUAGCGCCUCGUGAACUCAUCUUCGGGGGUAGAGCACUGUUUCGGCUAGGGGGUCAUCCCGACUUACCAACCCGAUGCAAACUACGAAUACCGAAGAAUGUUAUCACGGGAGACACACGGCGGGUGCUAACGUCCGUCGUGAAGAGGGAAACAACCCAGACCGCCAGCUAAGGUCCCAAAGUCAUGGUUAAGUGGGAAACGAUGUGGGAAGGCCCAGACAGCCAGGAUGUUGGCUUAGAAGCAGCCAUCAUUUAAAGAAAGCGUAAUAGCUCACUGGUCGAGUCGGCCUGCGCGGAAGAUGUAACGGGGCUAAACCAUGCACCGAAGCUGCGGCAGCGACACUAUGUGUUGUUGGGUAGGGGAGCGUUCUGUAAGCCGUUGAAGGUGGCCUGUGAGGGUUGCUGGAGGUAUCAGAAGUGCGAAUGCUGACAUAAGUAACGAUAAUGCGGGUGAAAAACCCGCACGCCGGAAGACCAAGGGUUCCUGUCCAACGUUAAUCGGGGCAGGGUGAGUCGACCCCUAAGGCGAGGCCGAAAGGCGUAGUCGAUGGGAAACAGGUUAAUAUUCCUGUACUUGGUGUUACUGCGAAGGGGGGACGGAGAAGGCUAUGUUGGCCGGGCGACGGUUGUCCCGGUUUAAGCGUGUAGGUGUGUGUUCCAGGUAAAUCCGGUUCACUUUAACACUGAGGCGUGAUGACGAGGCACUACGGUGCUGAAGUGACAAAUGCCCUGCUUCCAGGAAAAGCCUCUAAGCAUCAGGUAACAUCAAAUCGUACCCCAAACCGACACAGGUGGUCAGGUAGAGAAUACCAAGGCGCUUGAGAGAACUCGGGUGAAGGAACUAGGCAAAAUGGUGCCGUAACUUCGGGAGAAGGCACGCUGAUAUGUAGGUGAAGUGAUUUACUCAUGGAGCUGAAAUCAGUCGAAGAUACCAGCUGGCUGCAACUGUUUAUUAAAAACACAGCACUGUGCAAACACGAAAGUGGACGUAUACGGUGUGACGCCUGCCCGGUGCCGGAAGGUUAAUUGAUGGGGUUAUCCGUAAGGAGAAGCUCUUGAUCGAAGCCCCGGUAAACGGCGGCCGUAACUAUAACGGUCCUAAGGUAGCGAAAUUCCUUGUCGGGUAAGUUCCGACCUGCACGAAUGGCGUAAUGAUGGCCAGGCUGUCUCCACCCGAGACUCAGUGAAAUUGAACUCGCUGUGAAGAUGCAGUGUACCCGCGGCAAGACGGAAAGACCCCGUGAACCUUUACUAUAGCUUGACACUGAACACUGGUCCUUGAUGUGUAGGAUAGGUGGGAGGCUUUGAAGCGUGGACGCCAGUCUGCGUGGAGCCAUCCUUGAAAUACCACCCUUUAAUGGCUGGUGUUCUAACGUGGGCCCGUAAUCCGGGUUGCGGACAGUGUCUGGUGGGUAGUUUGACUGGGGCGGUCUCCUCCUAAAGAGUAACGGAGGAGCACGAAGGUCAGCUAAUCCUGGUCGGACAUCAGGAGGUUAGUGCAAUGGCAUAAGCUGGCUUGACUGCGAGCGUGACGGCGCGAGCAGGUGCGAAAGCAGGUCAUAGUGAUCCGGUGGUUCUGAAUGGAAGGGCCAUCGCUCAACGGAUAAAAGGUACUCCGGGGAUAACAGGCUGAUACCGCCCAAGAGUUCAUAUCGACGGCGGUGUUUGGCACCUCGAUGUCGGCUCAUCACAUCCUGGGGCUGAAGUAGGUCCCAAGGGUAUGGCUGUUCGCCAUUUAAAGUGGUACGCGAGCUGGGUUUAGAACGUCGUGAGACAGUUCGGUCCCUAUCUGCCGUGGGCGCUGGAGAAUUGAGGGGGGCUGCUCCUAGUACGAGAGGACCGGAGUGGACGCAUCACUGGUGUUCGGGUUGUCAUGCCAAUGGCAUUGCCCGGUAGCUAAAUGCGGAAGAGAUAAGUGCUGAAAGCAUCUAAGUACGAAACUUGCCCCGAGAUGAGUUCUCCCUGACUCCUUGAGAGUCCUGAAGGAACGUUGAAGACGACGACGUUGAUAGGCCGGGUGUGUAAGCGCAGCGAUGCGUUGAGCUAACCGGUACUAAUGAACCGUGAGGCUUAACCUUACAACGCCGAAG
rnacentral:rRNA from 1 species